UCUUAUCAAGAGAGGUGGAGGGACGUGCCCUAUGAAACCCAGCAACCGUCGUUAUACGAAAUGGUGCUAAUUCACAAAAAGUUAUCGAACUUUUAAAGAUGAGA
rnacentral:ncRNA from 1 species